AGAGUUUGAUCCUGGCUCAGGAUGAACGCUAGCGAUAGGCUUAACACAUGCAAGUCGAGGGGCAGCGGGGGUGAUGGCUUGCCAUCACCUGCCGGCGACCGGCGCACGGGUGAGUAACACGUAUGCAACCUGCCCGCCACAGGGGGAUAAGCGGAAGAAAUUCCGUCUAAUACCGCGUGACGCGGCGUCGGGGCAUCCCGGUGCCGCCAAAGGGAUUACCGGUGGCGGAUGGGCAUGCGGCGCAUUAGCUAGUCGGCGGGGUAACGGCCCACCGAGGCGACGAUGCGUAGGGGUUCUGAGAGGAAGGUCCCCCACACUGGUACUGAGACACGGACCAGACUCCUACGGGAGGCAGCAGUGAGGAAUAUUGGUCAAUGGGCGGGAGCCUGAACCAGCCAAGUCGCGUGAGGGAUGACGGUCCUACGGAUUGUAAACCUCUUUUGCCGGGGAGCAAGCGUGCGUUCGUGAACGCGCGUCGAGAGUACCCGGAGAAAAAGCAUCGGCUAACUCCGUGCCAGCAGCCGCGGUAAUACGGAGGAUGCGAGCGUUAUCCGGAUUUAUUGGGUUUAAAGGGUGCGUAGGCGGGAUGCCAAGUCAGCGGUAAAAAUGCGGUGCUCAACGCCGUCGAGCCGUUGAAACUGGCGUUCUUGAGUGGGCGAGAAGUAUGCGGAAUGCGUGGGGUAGCGGUGAAAUGCAUAGAUAUCACGCAGAACUCCGAUUGCGAAGGCAGCAUACCGGCGCCCUACUGACGCUGAGGCACGAAAGCGUGGGUAUCGAACAGGAUUAGAUACCCUGGUAGUCCACGCAGUAAACGAUGAAUGCUAACUGUCCGGUGCGAGUGAGCGCUGGGCGGUACAGCGAAAGCGUUAAGCAUUCCACCUGGGGAGUACGCCGGCAACGGUGAAACUCAAAGGAAUUGACGGGGGCCCGCACAAGCGGAGGAACAUGUGGUUUAAUUCGAUGAUACGCGAGGAACCUUACCCGGGCUCAAACGCAGGAUGACGGGUCCCGAAAGGGGCCUUUCUUCGGACAUUCUGCGAGGUGCUGCAUGGUUGUCGUCAGCUCGUGCCGUGAGGUGUCGGCUUAAGUGCCAUAACGAGCGCAACCCCUGUCCACAGUUGCCAGCAGGUAAAGCUGGGGACUCUGUGGAGACUGCCGGCGCAAGCUGCGAGGAAGGCGGGGAUGACGUCAAAUCAGCACGGCCCUUACGUCCGGGGCGACACACGUGUUACAAUGGCAGGUACAGCGGGAUGCCACGGGGCGACCCGGCGCUGAACCCGAAAACCUGUCUCAGUUCGGAUUGGAGUCUGCAACCCGACUCCAUGAAGCUGGAUUCGCUAGUAAUCGCGCAUCAGCCACGGCGCGGUGAAUACGUUCCCGGGCCUUGCACACACCGCCCGUCA
rnacentral:rRNA from 1 species